GCAAAAGGCGCUGGCCUGCUGGGACGGCCGUUGGAAGUGGCAGGUUCCGGGCAGCGUCUUCCAGGAUGGCUUUGCGCGCUUCCGCCUGCCCCUGGCGACGCCCCUUGUUCUCGCUCCUGCCACCCGAGCCGCCGUGUCUCCCUUUUCUGCUCUGCCGAAGACUCUACGAAGUCUGACCUUUAAAUGAAGUCGUGGAAGUGUUUGGAGAGGUGGUUAGGUGCUUUGAGAAGACCUCCCCGGUUAGGAGAGCAAGUCGAUUGAAAUCCUGGGGCUUGUUUGGAGGCCCUGCGGGUUUGAGAUACGGGGUUGUAAUUUGACCGAGAAACUAGGCAACCCGGUUUUGUUCUCCAGCCACUUGGAGUGGCCAAUGAGUUGGUCUUCUGGUAUGUGCAGCAAAAGGAGGGGGCGAGGGAAUGGCGGUGCUCCGACGUGGAUCCAGGCUGGCUGAGAAGUGAGGACACGAAGGGACGGUGGCAGUGGAAAGGAACUUCCUUAUGCUGUGGGUGCAGCCGAAAAAGCAGACAAAAAAGUAAAAGCGAAACAAAGUGAAAAGUACCAGUGAGCUGCGGGACAACCUCCAGCAACUGAUACGUGUGUCAUCGCGUCCCAGAGGUGGUCUUCCGUGCAAACUGCAGCUGUCUUGGUCCCAGACCCUCAACUCAGGAGAGUCCUGAGCUCUCCCUGACCCUCCGUCUGCAUCCUGAAACCUCUCCAGACAACAAGCUGGAAAAGUCACAGAACUCAGUUCACUUCCUUUCUCUCAGCGGUCCUGGCUUCCAUCGCAUUGCGCCUGAUAUAUUUCGAACUGUUGUUUCAUGUAACAGCUAUAAUUUUUUGAAUUGUUUCAGAUGAAAGGAUAAUUCUAGUCCUUGUUAAGCAGUAACUAGAAAUCUCACACAGUCAGUUUUUAUUUUUUGUGUUUUUUCUUUUUUCAUCUUUUUAGGGCUGCGAUCAUGGCAUAUGGAGGUUCCCAGGCUAGGAAUCAAAUCGGAGCUAUAGCUCCUGGCCUACACCACAGCCACAGCAAGCCAAGAUCCAAGCCAUGUCUGAGACCUACACCACAGCCCAUGGCAAUGCGGAUCCUUAACCCACUGAGUGAGGCCAGGAAUCCAACCCAUGUCUUUAAGCAGGAUCCGGCAUUGCCGUGAGCUGUGGUGUAGGUUGCAGAUGCGGCUUGGAUCUGGCAUUUCUGUGGCUCUGGCGUGGGCUGGCGGCCAUAGCUCUGAUUAGACCCCUAGCCGGGGAACCUCCAUGUGCCGCAGGUGUGGCUCUAGAAGACAAAAGACAAAAAAAAAAGAUC
ensembl:lncRNA